rnacentral:tRNA from 1 species
UGUUCUGUGGCGUAGUUGGUUAAAGCGCCGGACUAAGCGAUACGGAGUCGUGGGUUCGAAUCCCAUCAAAACAA